rnacentral:misc_RNA from 1 species
GAAAUGCGAUAAGUAAUGUGAAUUGCAGAAUUCCGUGAAUCAUCGAAUCUUUGAACGCACAUUGCGCCCUCUGGUAUUCCGGGGGGCAUGCCUGUCCGAGCGUCAUUGCGAACCCCUCAAGCACGGCUUGUGUGAUGGGCCCUCCCGCGUCUUGGUCGUCAAGACGGGCCCGAAAUGCAGUGGCGGCUUCGCGGUUAUCCGAUCAGCCAGAGCGUAUGGGGACUUUCUCUCUGUCACACGCCCGCGGCGCGGACCGACGCCUGUCGACCUUCAUUCAUCGUUUUCUCGGUUGACCUCGGAUCAGGUAGGGAAACCCGCUGAACUUAAGC